GAUGAACGCUGGCGGCGUGCCUAAUACAUGCAAGUCGAGCGAACAGACGAGGAGCUUGCUCCUCUGACGUUAGCGGCGGACGGGUGAGUAACACGUGGAUAACCUACCUAUAAGACUGGGAUAACUUCGGGAAACCGGAGCUAAUACCGGCUCAUAUAUUGUACCGCAUGGUUCAAUAGUGAAUGACGGUUUUGCUGUCACUUAUAGAUGGAUCCGCGCCGGAUUAGCUAGUUGGUAAGGUAACGGCUUACCAAGGCAACGAUGCGUAGCCGACCUGAGAGGGUGAUCAGCCACACUGGAACUGAGACACGGUCCAGACUCCUACGGGAGGCAGCAGUAGGGAAUCUUGCGCAAAGGGCGAAAGCCUGACGGAGCAACGCCGCGUGAGUGAUGAAGGUCUUCGGAUCGUAAAACUCUGUUAUUAGGGAAGAACAAAUGUGUAAGUAACUAUGCACGUCUUGACGGUACCUAAUCAGAAAGCCACGGCUAACUACGUG
rnacentral:rRNA from 1 species